rnacentral:rRNA from 1 species
GCGAAAACUUUACAAUGCUGGCAACAGCGGUAAGGGAACCUCGAGUGCCAGGUUACAAAUCUGGCUGUCGAGAUGCCUAAAAAGCAUUUCAUAGCAAGGGCCGGGCAAGACCGGUGCCAGCCGCCGCGGUAACACCGGCGGCUCGAGUGGUAACCGUUAUUAUUGGGUCUAAAGGGUCUGUAGCCGGCCGGAUAAGUCUCUUGAGAAAUCUGGCAGCUUAACUGUCAGGCUUUCAGGAGAUACUGUCUGGCUCGAGGCCGGGAGAGGUGAGAGGUACUUCAGGGGUAGGGGUGAAAUCUUGUAAUCCUUGAAGGACCACCAGUGGCGAAGGCGUCUCACCAGAACGGACCUGACGGCAAGGGACGAAAGCUAGGGGCACGAACA